rnacentral:rRNA from 1 species
GGUCAAGCUACAAAGGGCGCAUGGUGAAUGCCUUGGCAUCAGGAGCCGAUGAAGGACGCGAUAAGCUGCGAUAAGCUUCGGGUAGACGCACAUAGUCAGAGAUCCGAAGAUUUCCGAAUGAGGAAACUCACAUGGGAAACCCCAUGUAUCAUAAAGUGAAUACAUAGCUUUAUGAAGGUAUACCCAGGGAACUGAAACAUCUAAGUACCUGGAGGAAGAGAAAGAAAAAUCGAUUUUCUUAGUAGCGGCGAGCGAAAAGGAAAGAGCCCAAACCAGAGAUUUAUCUCUGGGGUUGCGGACAGAACAUAACGAGAAAUCAUAGUUAAUUGAACACAACUGGAAAGUUGGACCACAGUGGGUAAUAGUCCCGUAAGUGAAAACUAUGAUAAUCAGUUCUGCACCAGAGUACCACGAGACACGUGAAACCUUGUGGGAAGCAGGGAGGACCACCUCCCAAGGCUAAAUACUACCUGAUGACCGAUAGUGAAGCAGUACCGUGAGGGAAAGGUGAAAAGAACCCCGGGAGGGGAGUGAAAUAGAACCUGAAACCAUGUGCCUACAACCGAUCAGAGCACCUUAUGUGUGUGAUGAUGUGCUUUUUGUAGAACGAGCCAACGAGUUACGGUAUGUAGCGAGGUUAAGUACUUAAGGUACGGAGCCGAAGGGAAACCGAGUCUUAAUAGGGCGACUAGUUGCAUGCUGUAGACCCGAAACCGGGUGACCUAUCCAUGGCCAGGUUGAAGCGAGGGUAAAACCUCGUGGAGGACCGAACCACGUUGCUGUUGAAAAAGCAUGGGAUGAGCUGUGGAUAGCGGAGAAAUUCCAAUCGAACUCGGAUAUAGCUGGUUCUCCUCGAAAUAGCUUUAGGGCUAGCGUCGGAAAAUGUGAGUAGUGGAGGUAGAGCACUGAAUAGGCUAGGGGGCAUAGCGCUUACCGAACCUUAUCAAACUCCGAAUGCCACAUACUAUCAGUCCGGCAGUCAGACUAUGAAAGAUAAGUUCCAUGGUCAAAAGGGAAACAGCCCAGAUCGUCAGCUAAGGUCCCAAAGUGUAAGUUAAGUGGAAAAGGAUGUGGGAUUUCUAAGACAACUAGGAUGUUGGCUUAGAAGCAGCCACUCAUUAAAAGAGUGCGUAAUAGCUCACUAGUCAAGAGAUCCUGCGCCGAAAAUGUCCGGGGCUCAAACUUACCACCGAAGCUACGGGUUCACGCAUUAGCGUGAGCGGUAGAGGAGCGUCGUAAUCGGGCUGAAGUCGUACCGUAAGGAGCGGUGGACUGAUUACGAGUGAGAAUGUUGGCAUUAGUAGCGAGAUGUAGGCGAGAAUCCUACAGGCCGAAUAUCUAAGGUUUCCUGAGUAAAGUUUGUCUUCUCAGGGUUAGUCGGGACCUAAGGCGAGGCCGAAAGGCGUAGUCGAUGGACAAUUGGUUGAUAUUCCAAUACCACUAUAAUCGUUAUUAUCGAUGGUGUGACGGAGAAGGAUAGGAUGUGCUAGCUAUUGGAUGCUAGUCUAAGCGUUUUAGGGAGUUGGGAUUGGCAAAUCCGUUCCAACAAUUCUGAGGCGUGAUGGGGAAGGUUCUACGGAACCGAAGUAUCUGAUUCCAUGCUUCCAAGAAAAGCAUCUAGAGAGAGAAGUAGUGCCCGUA